rnacentral:rRNA from 1 species
CCUACGGGAGGCAGCAGUAGGGAAUCUUCCGCAAUGGACGAAAGUCUGACGGAGCAACGCCGCGUGAGUGAUGAAGGCUUUCGGGUCGUAAAACUCUGUUGUUAGGGAAGAACAAGUACAAGAGUAACUGCUUGUACCUUGACGGUACCUAACCAGAAAGCCACGGCUAACUACGUGCCAGCAGCCGCGGUAAUA